rnacentral:rRNA from 1 species
GACGAACGCUGGCGGCGUGCUUAACACAUGCAAGUCGAACGGAAAGGCCCUGCUUUUGUGGGGUGCUCGAGUGGCGAACGGGUGAGUAACACGUGAGUAACCUGCCCUUGACUUUGGGAUAACUUCAGGAAACUGGGGCUAAUACCAGAUAGGAGCUCCUGCUGCAUGGUGGGGGUUGGAAAGUUUCGGCGGUUGGGGAUGGACUCGCGGCUUAUCAGCUUGUUGGUGGGGUAGUGGCUUACCCAGGCUUUGACGGGUCGGCCGCAUGAGAGGGUGACCGGGCACAUUGGGACUGAGGUACGGCCCAGAGGCGUACGGGAGGCAGCAGUGGGGAAUAUUGCACAAUGGGCGGAAGCCUGAUGCAGCAACGCCGCGUGCGGGAUGACGGCCUUCGGGUUGUAAACCGCUUUCGCCUGUGACGAAGCGUGAGUGACGGUAAUGGGUAAAGAAGCACCGGCUAACUACGUG